AGUGAACGCUGGCGGUAGGCCUAACACAUGCAAGUCGAACGGCAGCACAGUAAGAGCUUGCUCUUACGGGUGGCGAGUGGCGGACGGGUGCGGAGAACAUCGGAAUCUACUUUUUCGUGGGGGAUAACGUAGGGACACUUACGCCAAUACUGCAUACGACCUACGGGUGAAAGCAGGGGAUCUUCGGACCUUGCGCGAUUGAAUGAGCCGAUGUCGGAUUAGCUAGUUGGCGGGGUAAAGGCCCACCAAGGCGACGAUCCGUAGCUGGUCUGAGAGGAUGAUCAGCCACACUGGAACUGAGACACGGUCCAGACUCCUACGGGAGGCAGCAGUGGGGAAUAUUGGACAAUGGGCGCAAGCCUGAUCCAGCCAUACCGCGUGUGUGAAGAAGGCCUUCGGGUUGUAAAGCCCUUUUGUUGGGAAAGAAAAGCAGCAGGUUAAUACCCCGCUGUUCUGACGGUACCCAAAGAAUAAGCACCGGCUAACUUCGUG
rnacentral:rRNA from 1 species